rnacentral:rRNA from 1 species
UGAGGGAUAUUGCACAAUGGACGAAAGUCUGAUGCAGCGACGCCGCGUGGGUGAUGAAGGUCUUCGGAUCGUAAAACCCUUUUCUAGGUGACGAGGAAGGACGGUAGCCUAGGAAUAAGUCUCGGCUAACUACGUGCCAGCAGCCGCGGUAAAACGUAGGAGGCAAGCGUUAUCCGGAGUUACUGGGCGUAAAGCGCGCGCAGGCGGUCGUGUAAGUGGUGUGUGAAAGCUCUCGGCUAAACUGAGAGAGGACAGAUCAGACUGCACGACUAGAGUGGAACAGAGGAGUGUGGAAUUCCGGGUGUAGCGGUGAAAUGUGCAGAGAUCCGGAGGAACACCAGAGGUGAAGACGGCGCUCUGGGUUCACACUGACGCUGAGGCGCGAAAGCGUGGGGAGCAA